GACGAGGGGUCCUAGCGUUGUUCGGAAUCAUUGGGCGUAAAGCGUGUGUAGGCGGCCAUUUAAGUCAGGUGUGAAAUCCCCGGGCUCAACCCGGGAAGUGCAUUUGAUACUGAGUGGCUUGAGUAUUGGAGAGGAUAGUAGAAUUCCUGGUGUAGUGGUGAAAUACGUAGAUAUCAGGAGGAAUACCGGUGGCGAAGGCGGCUAUCUGGCCAUAUACUGACGCUGAGACACGAAAGCGUGGGGAGCAAACAGG
rnacentral:rRNA from 1 species